UAAUGAACGCCGUUGAAUUCGGUGUUUGUCGGUUAAAGUUUGUUGUUUUCCCCUCUCGUAUGUAAAAAUGAGCUCCCAGUUAUCGCAGCAGAUGUCUGUGAGACGUUGUUAGCAGUGUGUAAUUUGUUGUAGCGUUAUUAAUUAGCUAACAGUGAUGUCUCUAGCUUGAUUGUCACCAGGAGUCACGGUAAUUAGCUUGAUUAGAAACGUCCGUGCUGGAGUUUGCUAACUAGGGGAAGGCUAAAGCGUUUCUUCGACAUCUUUACUUAUUGGAGGAGUACAUGGACCUGUUGUGGGCUGCACUCCUGUGACUUUGGCACCUCCUUUGAUCAGCUGGUUCUUCACAGAGUGAACCUUCAGGGUCCUGUUUUACUUCAGCAAGACAGACCCGUGCAGACUGAUGACGACACUCAGCACGACCCUGUGAUGACAUGACAGCAGGAGUAAACAAUAGUCAUGGUGAUGAGGAUGAAAUAUAAGGAGGAACUCGUGUCAAAUUAAUGUUGCAUGAGGUCUGCAUGGAGCAGAUAAGGCACACCCAGCCAAGGACUGAGGGCACCAAAUCAACCAGGAAUAAAAAAAAAAAAAAAAAGAAAGACGAAGAAGAAGUGGAGAGAGGAAGAAAUCCUCCUAAAGGAAGACAACAAGACAUACAGUGCUCAUGCCUUUCGCGUGAGCUACAUCGAGUUAUAUAAGAUCUAAAUAUGGCUCGGCCCAUUUAAGUCCAGCAGCACCCAAGGUCAGUGAGCAGGACGUGAAAUCAGAAAGGGCUGCGUGGGCUCCCCGGGGAGGAGGCCGGUGCCAUGAGAUGGUCAGGGGGAAGUCUCCGUGGUCCUCUUAUCUUUAGUGAGCACCGAACCCCACAGGCCCUCCAAGGCUAAUAUAUCUACAAAAUGACUCUCGCCAGAGUGGCACUGCUGACGACCAGCAGGUCAAACCACCCUGUGCAAUGUCACACAGCCUCCACAGAGCUGAUUGGAAGCCAGCAGGGUCUCUCCAAUGUGACUGGCUCCUCACAAGGACCCUCUGAAGCCUCACACUCACUGGUUUUAGUUACUUAAAGGGGGCUUUGGUAAUGCAGCCGCGAUGUCCCAGACUACAAAUCCUGUUCUGCAGAUGUAAGAGAACGUGUUCGCUUGGAUCAGAACCCAACAAAAAUAAAAACUGUGAUGGGAAAAAGAUAAUUUCCUCCAAUCGUAAAUCAUAAUAAGUCGUAACAUGUCAGUUUACUCAAAUUUUGUAGGAAAACACAUCUUUUUUUUUCAGUCCUCCAAAGUAAAACAUAAACCAACGGUAACAAUUAAUCUUAAUUUCAAAUAUUUCUCAGCUGUGUUUCACUUUUGUUUACGAGGGAUAAAAUUAAAGAGGUUCAGUCAGUGACGGAAAGAAUCAAUUUCCUGUAGCAGCAAUUUAAAAAUUAACGUAAGACUUUUCAUUAUGAAGCUAGACAGCUUUUUAACGUCACUCAGGAGGAUGUUCGGUUAACGUCUCCGCAGUGUUUUUAUUGAUAAAAUCUCACAUCGUCCCGUCUCUAAUCGUAAUACCUGUCUAAAUAAUCGCAAUAUCAUCUAUUUUCUUUAUUUUUUUAUGUUUGCGUGCAGCCCGAUUUGAUAUUAUUCUGGGAUGUUUGCGAUGUUGCAUUAAAGUCUCAUUUCCCUUCA